AUGGCAUCCUCCUCUUCUAUCCUUCUCUUUGCUGCUCUUAUUGCACUGGUCUCAUGGCAGGCCACUGCCUCUGAUCCUAGCCCACUCCAGGACUUUUGCGUCGCCGACCUGCAUUCACCAGUGCGUGUCAAUGGGUUUGUUUGCAAGAACCCGAUGGAAGUUAACGCAGACGACUUCUUCAAGGCAGCCAACCUCGACAAGCCUAGGGUGACCAACAAGAACCCACCACAUAUGCACCCUCGCGCCACUGAGAUCCUCAUGGUGCUCGAGGGGACACUAUAUGUUGGCUUUGUCACAUCCAACCAGCCCGCCCCCAACAGAAACAAGUUCCUUUCCAAGAUGCUCAACAAAGGUGAUGUGUUUGUCUUCCCCGUGGGGCUCAUCCACUUCCAAUUCAACCCCAACCCCCACCAGCCCGCUGUUGCAAUUGCCGCGCUUAGCAGCCAGAACCCAGGGGCUAUCACAAUUGCCAAUGCAGUGUUUGGGUCGGACCCACCAAUAUCAGAUGAUGUUCUUGCCAAGGCAUUUCAGGUGGAAAAGAAUACAAUAGACUAUCUCCAGGCUCAAUUUUGGGAGAACAACCACAACUAA
rnacentral:rRNA from 1 species